ACCAUAGGCAACGGCACAUAAUAACUUGUUGCCGGUAAACCAGGACUGACAACAUAUGCCUCGACUUUCAAAUACCAAAUGACGCUUUCGAAUGAUAUCUUGCUGUUUCUCAAUGUGUUGUUUCCAUUGGUCUCUAGCAAUCAGUGUAUUGAGAUAAAGACUUAUAGAAAAACCACGGGCUCCAAUAAAUACUAACUGCAAACCGUAUGCUUUAACAGGAGGUGGAUUACUUU